rnacentral:rRNA from 1 species
AUUGAACGCUGGCGGCAUGCCUAACACAUGCAAGUCGAACGGUAACAGGCCCUUCGGGGUGCUGACGAGUGGCGGAUGGGUGAGUAAUACUUAGGAAUCUACCCUGUAGUGGGGGACAACCCGGGGAAACUCGGGCUAAUACCGCAUACGCUCUACGGAGGAAAGCGGGGACCGCAAGGCCUCGCGCUAUUGGAUGAGCCUAAGCCCGAUUAGCUAGUUGGUGGGGUAAUAGCCACCAAGGCAAUGAUCGGUAGCUGGUCUGAGAGGACGACCAGCCACACUGGGACUGAGACACGGCCCAGACUCCUACGGGAGGCAGCAGUGGGGAAUAUUGGACAAUGGGCGAAAGCCUGAUCCAGCGAUGCCGCGUGUGUGAAGAA